CCCAGACUCCUACGGGAGGCAGCAGUGGGGGAUAUUGCACAAUGGGGGGAACCCUGAUGCAGCGACGCCGCGUGGGUGAAGGAGCGUUUCGGCGCGUAAAGCCCUAUCGGCAGGGAAGAAGGAGGACGGUACCUGACUAAGAAGCCCCGGCUAACUACGUGCCAGCAGCCGCGGUAAUACGUAGGGGGCAAGCGUUAUCCGGAUUUACUGGGUGUAAAGGGGGCGCAGACGGCAGCGCAAGCCAGGAGUGAAAGCCCGGGGCCCAACCCCGGGACUGCUCUUGGAACUGCGCGGCUGGAGUGCAGGAGGGGCAGGCGGAAUUCCUGGUGUAGCGGUGAAAUGCGUAGAUAUCAGGAGGAACACCGGUGGCGAAGGCGGCCUGCUGGACUGCAACUGACGUUGAGGCCCGAAAGCGUGGGGAGCAAACAGGAUUAGAUACCCUGGUAU
rnacentral:rRNA from 1 species